AGACUAGGUGUGGCCAUUUCAAGAGAGCAAACGGAAGAAUAGUGCUAAGGACAGGGAAGCCAACCAGCUCUCUUCUGGUAAAUAAGCGUUCCAGAAAUGUAAGCUUUAAUUGGGCUAGCUGACCACAAAUCAUUACAAAGAUGGAAUGAGUCAUUUGGUGGCAAAGAUGUCUGAGGGUCUGAAGUGACAACCUUCUAAUUGUGUGUGUGUGUGUGUGUGUGUGUGUGUGUGUGAGGGGUGCUCCUUGUGAAUGGACUUCUGUGUGUUGAGCAGAGGGGCCAGGUCAUUUCUCCCUGGUGUGGAAGGAUAAGUUUCACUUAUUGUCUCAUUUCUAGCCUCACAAUAAGCCUGGAAGGUAGGCACAGCAGUAUCGAUAGGAUAUCAACUUUUCUUAUACCCUUGGAGCUAUGACAAUUUGACACAAUCGUUUGUGUGAAAAUACGCCAACAAGCUUAAGUCACUACCUGUGCAAGUUGUGUUGUUACUCACGCCUUUGAAGUAUUUCUCUUUGUUUUUCAGGGUACCAUAACACAUUCCCUACAGUAAUUAGGGCUUCCCUUAACAAAGCCAAGGCUGGCACCUGGGUAGAUGUUCUUUGUUGAUUACGAAGUCUUAAUGUGGACUAGCUUCAGAAGCUUCUCAGAGCCAAACCGUCAUCUCUUUGCCUUUCUGCUACGAAGACCACACUCCCAUCCAGGCCACCCACCAGGUUCCAUUUGGUGGAACCCCCACCAAGGACACCUUUAGCUGUUGAUUGCUUUAUAGAAUAACCGGGCUGGAUGACAGCCCUGAGCAGUUUGCCAGUGUGGUCUAGUUUUCUAGGUUUCCCUGGUGAGUCAACAGGAAUGUAUCUACUUGUCUCUGGGAAUUGCAGUUCUACAUCAUCACCUAAAGUCUUCCAGAUUUUCCUGAAGAGAGGCAAAUGUGUAAAACACAACUGAAAGCUGACUGUUGAAUUAACAUCGUGGUGAACAAGAUCUUGGAUGUGAGUCAUGGAAAUGAACCUGAACUGAGAGUUGCUUUCCAAAGACUAUCUCACCACUGGGAUUCAGGCUGAACAAAGGAGUUAGAUUCAGUCUGUGUAUCAUUUUUGAGAUAAACUCAGUGUAAACUAUAAGGCAAAGACAUGUUCGAAUUUAAUCUACAUAUAACACCCAGCAUGGAGAGAAUCAGAAACCAAGAGCAUGGUGUACUCAGUCUAACCCACAGGUUAUGGGCCAGAGCUUCAUAAUGAAAUAGUGAAAUGAGAAUGUAUGUUUUUUAUCAAGGAGUUCAUUGUCCUUUCUGGUACACUACACCACCCAGUGCCUAAUCUGUCUAAAGUAUGAGUGUCUAUUAAUAACUGUUCUACUAAUAAUGCAUAGUGGCUUUCACUAUGAAAAGCUUACUGGUAUUUUGAAUAAUCAAACAUUUCCAGGUAGACAUGGAGAAUGACUUUGGAGGCUUGCGAACAUCUUUUAUUAGCAGUAGAAGCUAUGAUAGAAAGGGAGAGCAUAUACCUGCACUAAGAACCUGUUAUUCCUCAGACACAUCCAUAGGCAUUCAACACACAAACACUUUGUGAAGCUUGUGUCAGCUUCACCUUACAAGGGGUCCAAGGUCAAAGAAACUAUUUCCACCACUAUUGUUGAGGCAGCAGGAUUUGCAGCUUCUUUGUGUAGCCCAUAAAUUCACAUGUCCUACCCUUUAGUUUGAAGAACAAAGUCUAUAGAAUUUCAUGCCUUAAACUCUCUCUGAAUUACUUAUAAGGCAAAGGUGUAAAGAGUGGUUCCUGUUCUUCCAGAGGACCAGAGUUUGAAUCCAAGCACCUAUGCCAGGAAACUUACAACCACAGGUCACUGUAGCUUCAAGAGCUCCAGCACCUCUCUUCUGGCUUCCCCUGUAUUC
rnacentral:lncRNA from 1 species